rnacentral:rRNA from 1 species
AACGAACGCUGGCGGCAGGCCUAACACAUGCAAGUCGAACGAGAAGCUUUCCUUCGGGAAAGUGGAAAGUGGCAGACGGGUGAGUAACGCGUGGGAACGUGCCUCUCGGUUCGGAAUAACUCAGGGAAACUUGGGCUAAUACCGAAUACGCCCUUCGGGGGAAAGAUUUAUCGGAGUUGGAUGAGCCCGCGUUUGAUUAGCUAGUUGGUGGGUAAAGGCCUACCAAGGCGACGAUCAAUAGCUGGUCUGAGAGGAUGAUCAGCCACACUGGGACUGAGACACGGCCCAGACUCCUACGGGAGGCAGCAGUGGGGAAUAUUGGACAAUGGGCGCAAGCCUGAUCCAGCCAUGCCGCGUGAGUGAUGAAGGCCCUAGGGUUGUAAAGCUCUUUCAACGGUGAAGAUAAUGACGGUAACCGUAGAAGAAGCCCCGGCUAACUUCGUG